CAGGGCCACGAUCUCCCAUCUAGCCUUCUUUUUCUUCCUGGUGCAAUCCGCGAAAUGGUUGACCGCUCAUGCUCCCAUCCCCCACCAGCGCCGUGCUCCACCAGCUGCACCUCCUCCUAGCCAUGGCGUAGGGCCUGUUCCUCUUCGGCUUCACCUCCGCGUUGGCUCGCCUUCGGCCGUCGUGAGGACACCAACAAGCUCCAGAUCCGAACGCUCGUGCUCCAACUCCGGCCGGUCACCGUCCUCUACACCGAGAUCUUCCCGGCGCGCGGAUCCUUGGCCACCACCUCUAGGCACCGUUGCCCCAAGUCCGACCGGCGCCCCUGCCAUGAACCGGCUCCGCGCCUCCUCUGGUG
rnacentral:misc_RNA from 1 species